CAGUAGCCGCGGUAAAACGUAGGUGGCAAGCGUUGUCCGGAUUUAUUGGGUGUAAAGCGAGCGCAGGCGGUCAAUUAAGUCUGAUGUGAAAGCCCCCGGCUCAACCGGGGAGGGUCAUUGGAAACUGGUUGACUUGAGUGCAGAAGAGGAGAGUGGAAUUCCAUGUGUAGCGGUGAAAUGCGUAGAUAUAUGGAGGAACACCAGUAGCGAAGGCGACUCUCUGGUCUGUAACUGACGCUGAGGCUCGAAAGCGUGGGUAGCAAACAGGAUUAGAUACCCCUGUAGUCCCUGUCUCUUAUAC
rnacentral:rRNA from 1 species